CUGGCUUCCUUAGAAAUUUGCUACUGUAAAGAAAGAGAAACUGAAAGUAGAGCAAAAUCAAACCUAAGCCUGUGAAGUGAGGAUGCCCUGGAAAUAUUGAACUUUGAAGCAGUUGUUUUGCUCAUAUUUUCCUGUCCUUUUCCCCCCCUCCACCUAAACAAUAAUUUAAUGUCAGAUUCUUUGAUAGUUUUAGAUUUGUCCUAUUUUCCACUUGCAUGAAAAUAUGCCUUGACAAGAUUGUCACAUGGUCACGUUACUUUUAACUGGCUCACAAAAAGAAAAUGCUAUACUGUACAUAUUAAGUUAAAGAAGUAUAGGUAUCUAAACUUAACUUGGGUAAACUCCACAUUUUUUUCUCCUCAAUUAAAGAUUAGCCAUUGGAGGGCAUGGAUGUAAUGCCACAUAAAUUAAGUUCGGUAUAUCCAUAGCAGUUCUGAAAAGCUCCAAACAAUUUUUGCUCUAACUUCUCUUACUAUAGCUCAGGAAUAUAUAGCAUGUGUUCACUUAUUGUAAGGUGGUGCUUCUGUCUUUUAAUUUGCAUUUUCUGUUUGGGUCCAGCCAAAACGAAAAUAACUUUCAAUAAGAGUAAUUAAAAAAAAAAUGUUUUUAAAAUACAAUAUUCAAACAAUCGGAGUUUAUUUUACCACGUUUUCCAAAGAAAUAUCUUUUUGGGUGGUGGCUUUAUAGAAAACAAUAUUUUUUCCAAUUAUUGGAUUAAUGUUAAAUUAUGUGCUAAGACUUGAGAAUUUUUCUUCUUUGAAAAGCUAUUUUUGGCUUGACUUCUGAAGGAAAUUUACAACAGACAGACCAGCUAUUAGGAAUCUCUAAUGGAAAAGUCCAGGCCAUUUCCUUUAUCAAUCAUAUGCUAGAAGCAGUUACAUUUUAAUGUUGUAAUAGAAAGAAAAAACAUACUAAUCUAGUCUGGACUUGUUUUUCAAGUAAAUAUUUUUAUUAAAAACAAAAUUGCACAAAUAGUUCCAAUCAUAUUAUGCCCUGUUGCAGGUGGCUUUGACUGUAAAUUUAGGUUGAAAUAUUUAUUUGUUUUAAUACCUUUUUACAUAAGCAUCACAGUAAUAGAUGAACGUUGCAUACAUAUUAACUGCCUAUUAUACAUUUUGUUUUCUUUUAUGCAAAUAGUUCCUGUUUACAAUGUGGCAUGUUUCAAUGAAGAAUCAGAUGUGACAAAGGACAGAUUUUGCCUGGAGAGUUCUUUGACACAUUGUGUGUAAUAUUGCUUUUGUUGUAAGCUUUCUGUUUCAAAGAAAGCAGUCAUGUUCUAUAUGUAAAUUAUGUGAAUAAAUAAUUUUAUAUCA